CCUACGGGAGGCUGCAGUGAGGAAUAUUGGUCAAUGGGCGGAAGCCUGAACCAGCCAAGUCGCGUGAGGGAAUAAGGCCCUACGGGUCGUAAACCUCUUUUGCCGGGGAGCAAGCGCGGGGCCGUGUCCCUGCUCGGAGAUUACCCGGAGAAAAGGCAUCGGCUAAUUCCGUGCCAGCAGCCGGGGUAAUACGGAGGCUGCGAGGUUUUCCCGGAUUUAUUGGGUUAAAAGGGUGGGUAGGCGGGCUUUUAAGUGAGCGGUAAAAAUGGGGGGCUCAACCCCGUCCGGCCGUUGAAACUGGGGGGCUUGAGUGGGCGAGAAGAAGGCGGAAUGCGUGGUGUAGCGGUGAAAUGCAUAGAUAUCACGCAGAACCCCGAUUGCGAAGGCAGCCUUCCGGCGCCCUACUGACGCUGAGGCACGAAAGUGCGGGGAUCGAACAGGAUUAGAUACCCGAGUAGUC
rnacentral:rRNA from 1 species